AGCCUUUGGAAGGGAUCAAAGGUUAUACCUGCCCAAUGUUAUAUUAAUGGCCGCGGUACUUUGACCGUGCUAAGGUAGCACAAUCAAUUGGCCCUUAAUUAGGGUCAGGUAUGAAUGGAGUUACGGGGCUUAGCUGUCUCUAGACUAUUUAAUUGAAGUUGCUGUAUAGGUGAAAAAGCCUAUGUAAAGAAAAAAGACGAGAAGACCCUUAGAGUUUUGCUUAAAAAAAAGUUAACUUCUUCACUAGUUUUGUUGGGGCAACAUAGGAAGAAUUAAACCUCCUAAAUUAUAUGAACCGAUAUUUUUAAAUGUGGAUAAACUACCUUAGGGAUAACAGCAUAAUUUUAAAAAUAAGUUUGUGACCUCGAUGUUGGACUAGGAAACUCAAAGGCUAGCCGCCUUUUGGUAAGGUUCUGUUCGAACUAUAAUUCCU
rnacentral:rRNA from 1 species